CACGUAGGGGCGAGCGUUGUCCGGAAUUACUGGGCGUAAAGGGUGCGUAGGUGGUUUCUUAAGUCAGAGGUGAAAGGCUACGGCUCAACCGUAGUAAGCCUUUGAAACUGGGAAACUUGAGUGCAGGAGAGGAGAGUGGAAUUCCUAGUGUAGCGGUGAAAUGCGUAGAUAUUAGGAGGAACACCAGUUGCGAAGGCGGCUCUCUGGACUGUAACUGACACUGAGGCACGAAAGCGUGGGGAGCAAACAGGAUUAGAUACCCCGGUAGUCCCUGAGCGGGCU
rnacentral:rRNA from 1 species